rnacentral:rRNA from 1 species
AGAAUCAACGCUGGCGGCGUGCCUAACACAUGCAAGUCGAACGAGAAAGUGGAGCAAUCCAUGAGUACAGUGGCGCACGGGUGAGUAACACGUGACUAACCUACCCUUGAGUUCGGAAUAACUUCGGGAAACCGAGGCUAAUACCGGAUAAUAUCUACGGAUCAAAGGAGCAAUUCGCUUAAGGAGGGGGUCGCGGCAGAUUAGUUAGUUGGCGGGGUAAUGGCCCACCAAGACGAUGAUCUGUA